CGGGGGGGCAAGCGUUGUUCGGAAUUACUGGGCGUAAAGGGCUCGUAGGCGGCCAACUAAGUCAGACGUGAAAUCCCUCGGCUUAACCGGGGAACUGCGUCUGAUACUGGAUGGCUCGAGAUUGGGAGAGGGAUGCGGAAUUCCAGGUGUAGCGGUGAAAUGCGUAGAUAUCUGGAGGAACACCGGUGGCGAAGGCGGCAUCCUGGACCAACACUGACGCUGAGGAGCGAAAGCCAGGGGAGCAAACGGGAUUAGAUACCCCGGUAGUCCUGGCCCUAAACGAUGAAUGCUUGGUGUGGCGGGUAUCGAUCCCUGCCGUGCCGAAGCUAACGCAUUAAGCAUUCCGCCUGGGGAGUACGGUCGCAAGGCUG
rnacentral:rRNA from 1 species